rnacentral:rRNA from 1 species
ACCGCUUACUACUGCCAACCCAUUAACAGUAUUGAAUAAUUUCAUAAAUUAUGAAAACUACCAUGCUAGAACUAGUAACAAGAAAAUGAAUUUCUCCAAAGUGUAAACAUAAACCAAAACGGACAACCCAUUGGUAAUUAACGACUCUGAACCCAUUAUAGCAAAACAUCUAGAAAACCCUAUACUUAAUACCGUUAACCUUACACAAGAACUCUUCUGGGAAAGAUUAAAAGGAAGAGAAGGAACUCGGCAAAUUUUAACCCCGCCUGUUUACCAAAAACAUCGCCUCUUGCUUAGUUAUAAGAGGUCCCGCCUGCCCAGUGUUUCAAUCAACGGCCGCGUGAUCUAAACGCGCGAAGGUAGCAUAAUAAUUUGUUCUUUAAAUGAGGACUUGUAUCAAUGGCAUCACGAGGGUUAUACUGUCUCCUCUCCCCAAUCAGUGAAACUAAUCUCCCUGUGAAAAAGCAGGAAUAAGAACAUAAGACGAGAAGACCCCAUGGAGCUUAAAACAAGGCAGCAAUUCAAUAACAAAAUCAGAACAAUCUUAAGCCCUGUAUGCCAGUUUUAGGUUGGGGUGACCACGGAGCAAAGCAAAGCCUCCACAACGAGAAGGGAUUAUUCCCUUACCCAAGAGACACGCCUCUAAGAAUUAUUAAAAUAACGUCUAAUGAUCCGAUUAUCGACCAAUGGACCAAGUUACCCUGGGGGAUAACAGCGCAAUCCACUCUGAGAGCUCCUAUCGACGAGUGGGCUUACGACCUCGAUGUUGGAUCAGGAUAUCCCAGUGGUGCAGCCGCUACUAAAGG